AAUAAUUCAAUCGAAGAAAUUGUUCACAUAUUCAUAGUAAGGUUACAUAAAAAAUCCCAGAAUAAAAGUCUACUCCAUAGUUAAAUUAAAGAGAAACAAACUUGAUACGAUGAACAUCACUCAAAAGCAGAGAAUUUCAGCGGAAUAGAUAGGUGUCCUCCCGGUCUUCAAUAUUUUUGCCUUUGUUCUUUUUUGUUCCUCUUGGUGCCGCCUCCUCUCUUUUUCUUUUCUAUUUUGUAGGGUUUCU
rnacentral:lncRNA from 1 species